AAACCAUGUUGGGGAUAAUUUCUUAGCAGCUCCCGGAAUCUUUCCCAGGCAUCAUGAAUUGUUUCAUCUCCAAGCUGGGCAAAGUGAGAAAUCUCGGCAAUGAUUUU